CCCUUAGAUGUCCUGGGCCGCACGCGCGCUACACUGAGUGUCUGAGAUACGAGUCUGCCUGGUCCGGCAAGGUCUAGGUAAUCGCUAAAAGACACAUCAUGCUUGGGAUAGAUUAUUGCAAAUAUUAAUCUUGAACGAGGAAUUCCUAGUAAGCGCAAGUCAACAGCUUGCGUUUAUUACGUCCCUGCCCUUUGUACACACCGCCCGUCGCUACUACUGAUUGGAUGUUUAAGCGAGGUUCUCGAACUGCUAGCGACUUAGCUUCGGUGAGGUCGCAGUGUGGGAAGUGAACCUAGCUUUGGUGUCUAGAGGAAGUAAAAGUCGCAACA
rnacentral:rRNA from 1 species